UAUAUAACAACAGAAAUCGAUGGUGUUUUUACAGAUGUUCAUGUUUUGUUCGACUAGCCCUCGACUUGUUCAAGGACUUACGUGUUGCACUACGUCUAUAUCGUCGACGCCGGUUAAGUAAAUCCUGUUAAGACCGACUCUGUCAAGAGGUUUGUAAACUGAAAGGCUAUCUCGGUUGGCGUCUCCUGAAAGCCGCAAACAAGGUCAACUC
rnacentral:rRNA from 1 species